ACGCUGGCGGCGUGCCUAAUACAUGCAAGUAGAACGCUGAAGGAGGAGCUUGCUUCUCUGGAUGAGUUGCGAACGGGUGAGUAACGCGUAGGUAACCUGCCUGGUAGCGGGGGAUAACUAUUGGAAACGAUAGCUAAUACCGCAUAACAGUAGAUGUUGCAUGACAUUUGCUUAAAAGGUGCAAUUGCAUCACUACCAGAUGGACCUGCGUUGUAUUAGCUAGUUGGUGGGGUAACGGCUCACCAAGGCGACGAUACAUAGCCGACCUGAGAGGGUGAUCGGCCACACUGGGACUGAGACACGGCCCAGACCCCUACGGGAGGCAGCAGUAGGGAAUCUUCGGCAAUGGACGGAAGUCUGACCGAGCAACGCCGCGUGAGUGAAGAAGGUUUUCGGAUCGUAAAGCUCUGUUGUAAGAGAAGAACGAGUGUGAGAGUGGAAAGUUCACACUGUGACGGUAUCUUACCAGAAAGGGACGGCUAACUACGUGCCAGCAGCCGCGGUAAUACGUAGGUCCCGAGCGUUGUCCGGAUUUAUUGGGCAUAAAGCGAGCGCAGGCGGUUAGAUAAGUCUGAAGUUAAAGGCUGUGGCUUAACCAUAGUACGCUUUGGAAACUGUUUAACUUGAGUGCAAGAGGGGAGAGUGGAAUUCCAUGUGUAGCGGUGAAAUGCGUAGAUAUAUGGAGGAACACCGGUGGCGAAAGCGGCUCUCUGGCUUGUAACUGACGCUGAGGCUCGAAAGCGUGGGGAGCAAACAGGAUUAGAUACCCUGGUAGUCCACGCCGUAAACGAUGAGUGCUAGGUGUUAGACCCUUUCCGGGGUUUAGUGCCGCAGCUAACGCAUUAAGCACUCCGCCUGGGGAGUACGACCGCAAGGUUGAAACUCAAAGGAAUUGACGGG
rnacentral:rRNA from 1 species